rnacentral:rRNA from 1 species
GAUGAACGCUGGCGGCGUGCCUAAUACAUGCAAGUCGAGCGAACGGACGAGGAGCUUGCUUCUCUGAUGUUAGCGGCGGACGGGUGAGUAACACGUGGAUAACCUACCUAUAAGACUGGGAUAACUUCGGGAAACCGGAGCUAAUACCGGAUAAUAUAUUGAACCGCAUGGUUCAAUAGUGAAAGACGGUCUUGCUGUCACUUAUAGAUGGAUCCGCGCUGCAUUAGCUAGUUGGUAAGGUAACGGCUUACCAAGGCAACGAUGCGUAGCCGACCUGAGAGGGUGAUCGGCCACACUGGAACGGAGACACGGUCCAGACUCCUACGGGAGGCAGCAGUAGGGAAUCUUCCGCAAUGGGCGAAAGCCUGACGGAGCAACGCCGCGUGAGUGAUGAAGGUCUUCGGAUCGUAAAACUCUGUUAUUAGGGAAGAACAUAUGUGUAAGUAACUGUGCACAUCUUGACGGUACCUAAUCAGAAAGCCACGGCUAACUACGUG